UAAGCGCUCUGAUAUUCUUUAUCAAUUACUUAGUUGGUUGAUACACGUGGUCGUCCGCACACGAGUGUUGUUUGGAGGAAUUACAGAUCUAAAAUGUUCGCUUACGGUUUAUCUACAUUGUUGACUACUGUCGACAGGGAUGCAAAUCUAAUAACUAUCAGAUCUUCGGUUGGAGGAUCACCCAUCUUGUUUGAUAGACAGCAAGAAGCGCCAUCAUUUACUGGAUAAGUACAUAUUAGUAAGAUUAGUUUAAGGAAUACGGAAGUAUUAUUUCAUAAUCAAUACAUAGUAUUUUGUAUAAUAGCAUCCUUCAUUUAUCAUAAUUUAGCUGCUAUAUGUCUGAGGUUACCGCCAUUAUUUUAAUUUAAAUAAACAUUAAAGUACUAUCCUAUUUAUUUGGUUGUAUAAGAUCAGUUAUUGGACUGUGGCCAUCAAAGUGUAUUUGAUAUCGCGUUUACGCUUUUGACGUAUUAUACGCGUCACUUGCUGGACCAUCUUGCUACGCCACGUCGCAAUACACCGGGCACCGACGCGGCGUCAUGGUG